AAUACCCUGCGGUGUUCGUGUUUGGAUCAACAGUUUGCAGCCAACACUUUUUAUCAGGAUGUUGCUUAGUUUAAUGUUGUGCAGGCCUGCCAUGUAGCGGGAAGCCUUAAGUUAGCUACAAUACGUCCUACCUGUUUAUACAGGGCUCAAAAAUGUUACUCCACACGGCACAGGCGGGGUUUUU
rnacentral:other from 1 species